AAGGGGUUAAUAAAGUGUAAGUGGGGUGGGGGUGUUAUUGUGCAUAUUGUGUUUGGGAUACAUUUAACAAGUUUGACCAGUUGGGUUUGAGAGUGGUUGAGUGUCAUCCACAGAUUCCCCAUAACAGUGCGUCUUCCACAGAUCCCCCAUA